UGGUCAAGUUAUUAAGGGCACAUGGUGGAUGCCUUGGCAUCAGGAGCCGAUGAAGGACGUGGGAGGCUGCGAUAUGCCUCGGGGAGCUGUCAACCGAGCUGUGAUCCGAGGAUUUCCGAAUGGGGAAACCCGGCACCAGUUAUGUGGUGUCACCUGCACCUGAAUAUAUAGGGUGUGUGGAGGGAACGUGGGGAAGUGAAACAUCUCAGUACCCACAGGAAGAGAAAACAACCGUGAUUCCGUGAGUAGUGGCGAGCGAAAGCGGAGGAGGCUAAACCUGCUGCGUGUGAUACCUGACAGGGGUUGCGUGGUGGGGGUCGUGGGACCCACUGGAUCGAGCUGUCACUCGGUCGGGGAGUCAUAAAAUCAUGUUGCUAGUCGAAUCGGUCUGGAAAGCCGAGCCGUAGAGGGUGAGAGUCCUGUAGGCGAAAGCGCGUGAUCUCCUUUGGUGGUGUUCCCGAGUAGCAGCGAGCUCGUGGAAUUUGCUGUGAAUUUGGCGGGACCACCCGUUAAGCCUAAAUACUUCCUGAUGACCGAUAGCGGACUAGUACCGUGAGGGAAAGGUGAAAAGUACCCCGGGAGGGGAGUGAAAGAGUACCUGAAACCGUGUGCCUACAAGCCGUCAGAGCCUCUACGUGGGUGAUGGCGUGCCUUUUGAAGAAUGAGCCUGCGAGUUAGUGCUGCGUGGCGAGGUUAACCCGUGUGGGGUAGCCGUAGCGAAAGCGAGUCUGAAUAGGGCGUUGAGUCGCGUGGUCUAGACCCGAAGCGGAGUGAUCUACCCAUGGCCAGGGUGAAGCGCCGGUAAGACGGUGUGGAGGCCCGAACCCACCAGGGUUGAAAACCUGGGGGAUGAGCUGUGGGUAGGGGUGAAAGGCCAAUCAAACUCCGUGAUAGCUGGUUCUCCCCGAAAUGCAUUUAGGUGCAGCGUCGUGUGUUUCUCAUCGGGGGUAGAGCACUGGAUGGUCUAGGGGGCCUACAAGCUUACCAAAAUCAACCAAACUCCGAAUACCGGUGAGUGAGAGCGCGGCAGUGAGACUGUGGGGGAUAAGCUUCAUAGUCGAGAGGGAAACAGCCCAGAACACCAGCUAAGGCCCCUAAGUGUACGCUAAGUGGGAAAGGAUGUGGGGUCGCCCAGACAACCAGGAGGUUGGCUUAGAAGCAGCCACCCUUGAAAGAGUGCGUAAUAGCUCACUGGUCAAGUGGUCCUGCGCCGACAAUGUAGCGGGGCUUAAGCGUACCGCCGAAGCUGUGUCAUUCACACAAUACAUCCGCUUCAGCCUUUGGGUUGUUGUGCAGUGGUGUGGAUGGGUAGGGGAGCGUCCUGCAUCCGUGGAAGCGGCGGAGUGAUCCAGCCGUGGAGGGUGUGGGAGUGAGAAUGCAGGCAUGAGUAGCGAAAGCAGAGUGAGAACCUCUGCCGCCGGAUGACCAAGGGUUCCUGGGCCAGGCUAAUCCGCCCAGGGUAAGUCGGGACCUAAGGCGAGGCCGACAGGCGUAGUCGAUGGACAACGGGUUGAUAUUCCCGUACCCGCGUGAAUGCGCCCAUGAUGAGGCGGUUGAUGCUAACCACCCAAAGCUUGCGGGGACGGCCUUCGGGUCUAGCUGUGAGUGGAGCGUGGGGCCCGAUUCCGUAUUAGUCAAGCGAUGGGGUGACGCAGGAAGGUAGUUCCGCCAGUGAGUGGAUUAACUGGUGUAAGCGUGUAGGCCAGGUGGUAGGUAAAUCCGCCAUCUAUUAAGGCUGAGACGUGAUGCGUAGCCGAUUGAGGCGAAGUGGAUGAUCCUAUGCUGCCGAGAAAAGCCUCUAGUGAGUGUUCAAGCGGCCCGUACCCUAAACCGACACAGGUGGUCAGGUAGAGAAUACUAAGGCGUUCGGGUGAACUGUGGUUAAGGAACUCGGCAAAAUGCCCCCGUAACUUCGGGAGAAGGGGGCCGUGUGGCGUGAAGGGACUUUGCUCCUGGAGCGUUGUGUGGCCGCAGAGACCAGCGAGAAGCGACUGUUUACUAAAAACACAGGUCCAUGCGAAGUCGUAAGACGAUGUAUAUGGACUGACGCCUGCCCGGUGCUGGAACGUUAAGAGGACGGGUUAGUCACGUAAGUGGCGAAGCUCAGAAUUUAAGCGCCAGUAAACGGCGGUGGUAACUAUAACCAUCCUAAGGUAGCGAAAUUCCUUGUCGGGUAAGUUCCGACCUGCACGAAUGGCGUAACGACUUCUCGGCUGUCUCAACCACAGGCCCGGUGAAAUUGCACUACGAGUAAAGAUGCUCGUUACGCGCGGCAGGACGGAAAGACCCCGGGACCUUUACUAUAGCUUGGUAUUGGUGCUCGGUUCGGCUUGUGUAGGAUAGGUGGGAGACUGUGAAGCGGUGACGCUAGUUACUGUGGAGUCAAUGUUGAAAUACCACUCUGGUCGAAUUGGGUGUCUAACCUCGGACCAUGAUCUGGUUCAGGGACAGUGCCUGGUGGGUAGUUUAACUGGGGCGGUUGCCUCCCAAAGGGUAACGGAGGCGCUCAAAGGUUCCCUCAGCCUGGUUGGCAAUCAGGUGUUGAGUGCAAGUGCACAAGGGGGCUUGACUGUGAGACUGACGGGUCGAGCAGGGACGAAAGUCGGAACUAGUGAUCCGGCCAUGGCUUGUGGAAGCGUGGUCGCUCAACGGAUAAAAGGUACCCCGGGGAUAACAGGCUGAUCUUGCCCAAGAGUCCAUAUCGACGGCAUGGUUUGGCACCUCGAUGUCGGCUCGUCGCAUCCUGGGGCCGGAGUAGGUCCCAAGGGUUGGGCUGUUCGCCCAUUAAAGCGGUACGCGAGCUGGGUUUAGAACGUCGUGAGACAGUUCGGUCCCUAUCCGCCGCGCGCGUAGGAUACUUGCGGAAGGCUGUCCCUAGUACGAGAGGACCGGGACGGACGAACCUCUGGUGUGCCAGUUGUUCUGCCAAGGGCAUGGCUGGUUGGCUACGUUCGGAAGGGAUAACCGCUGAAGGCAUCUAAGCGGGAAGCCUGUUCCUAGAUGAGGUAUCCCACCCUUUGUGGGUUAAGGCUCCCAGCUAGACGACUGGGUUGAUAGGCCAGAGAUGGAAGCACGGUAACGUGUGGAGUUGACUGGUACUAAUAGGCCGAGGACUUGCUCACAA
rnacentral:rRNA from 1 species